ensembl:lncRNA
AGAUCUAGCCGUACUGAUGGUGAAAGGCCGAGUGUUCUGGAAUAAAGCGUAGACUUCUGAUCUUCCUGAAGUAUUUAAGGCGAUUGAGAAUUUUUAGGAAUAUCAUAAAGAGAUCGUUUUUGUGAUUCCAAGCCAGGCCGAGUUGUUCUGAUGUCCGCAGCAGCUGGAAGAGAAAACCAUACAACGGCUGAUGGAGUUGGCUGCAGCAAGAAAAUCACAUCUCAGUUCCCAGGAUUUCAGAAAGAUGGGCCUCCUCCGAUAGUUGCAAAUCUCUGCAAAACGUUCUGGUGCUGCUGUGCACUGGUUUGAUCAGAUCUUGGCGAUUUCCUCCUGCGUGCACUCCAUGGCUCUGCUCUUGAGGAUGGAUGAUGCUACCCGGAACUGUGUCUGAUUCAGUGUGCUGAAGGAGGAGAGAAGGGGGAUGCGGAGUUGAUCUUCAAAACUGGCCCGCGUAUUUUGGGUCUGAGCCGUUGGCAGCACUGCUGUGCUGAUUCCCCUUCGUCUAAGCGUUCCUGACCGAUCCGUGCCUUGCCCGGAGCGGAAAGGUAAAGAGAGGUCCUUCCGUUUGUGUCGGAGAUGGCUUCUUUCCUGGGCUGGCUUUCUUUGCGGCGUAGGUACGCCGAACCCUGCCGCUUUCCAGUGCCCUUUUUCAGAAGGUUACGCUUCUCUGUGAAAGCGGUAGGUGGCAAGAAAAGGAGAUGGUGAAGCGCUGGCAACACCCAGUGGGUUCGUUAGCUGCUCUUUGCCAUUCGGCCUGAAGGGGCCCGUUCGAAUCACCUGAAAGGUCUCCAGCAGGUAUCUGCAUUGAUAUCUGAUACAGAUAUCUGUAUUGAUAUCUGCUGCAAAGCUAUCUCUGAUGGGACAUUCCAAAGCACGGCCUGCUUUACCCCAUGCCGUGAUUUUCCGGGCCUUGUCCCUCCUGUUAUCAGUGGGAGCGGUCUCCCCAUGGCAGAGCAGAGAUACAAGCUCAGCUUUAGCCCUGAUGCCCCAAUAACUUUCAUUCAUUUCAUCUGUUCACAUGGUGCUGUGAAACUUGCUGGCUUAAUCACUCCUCCCAGGGAUUCUUCUGCUCGGAACUGAACACCGGUGAACACAAAAUGCAUACAUACAUACAAAAGGUAUGUCACAUAUACGUAAACAGGCAAAAAACAACAACAAAAAAAAGCCACACCAGUACGAAUGCCUGCAGCACAAAAUCACCUUCACUCGGGCAGACCGGAGCUGGCAGAGCCCCUCACGUGGCACGGGAGCCGUGCUGACUCACGCGCUCACACGGGAAAUCCCAGCAUGCUUUCUGGCCGCUUCUCAUUCAAAUGAUUCUUCCCAGUCCUCUGCUUUUGGGAAGUGAGCCUCAGUCUGCGUCUCACGCCCUGGCGCUCUCAUGCUGUAUUUCCUGCUCAGCACAAAGCUAGCCCAGCUAACUUGACCAGAGCUGCCUGUGAGUUUCCUAGAUGUGCCCACGUAGUGCUGCUGACUGGUUUCACGUCUCACGGCUGUCGCAUCCUGACUUUUGCCUUACAGAAUGCUGUGCUCAGGCUGCCUUUAAAACGCACGACUACGUAGAAGCUCCACGGGGAUCUGCAGGGAUAUGCAAACGUGACUCCUUUUACAAAAGCCACGGUGCUUUCUUCUCACCUCCGUGCAGAUGCCACUUCAUUUCUGCCGUGGGUUCUAAUAAGGCCUCUGGCAGGUGGGCAAAACGUUACGCUCUACCGUUGCCUUUCUUGGGAAAUCCCCUGAAAAUUCUCAAUAUCACAAAUGAAAGAUUUAUUUUGCCCUAAACGACAUUAUUCCGAUUAAAUCCAUAGAGGCUACAGUGAAUAAGCAACAUACAGUCUCGUCGUUGCACCGAGAAAGCGCCGGCAGGGUACAGCGCACGCGCCUGCAUAUUCUAAUCGGCUCUGUGAGUGGGCCGUCUAAGGCAGCAGAUGCAUUAACUGUUGCCUUUAAUUAAUACCCGCGCUAAUGACCGCUAGAGAGUGCUCUUGUCCCUGUUGGUGAGCGCUGCCGCAUUUUCGUCCUCUGAGGAAAUGGGACAGCCGAUUCCAGCGCCGUAGGGAUGAGAGUGAAUUGGUAAGGAGGCGAACCCCAUCAGUUGUUUAAGUCAGGCACGGCGCCUGGCCGUGUGUGUCCCACUCGGGUAUGUUCCCUCUAACUGGGGGCUGCCUAAACCAGGCAGUAUCUUCUGCCCUACGUCUUCAAUACGCUGUGCUUUUUGCACAAAAAUAGCAAAAGAGGACGAUAGCAAAGGCUUUAAUUCAGCCGAGCUGCUGGUGUUGAAGUUAAGAAGCACCUACUGAAAUGCUUUGCAUUUGGUACAAAAGCCAGUCAUUCUCUUCCGAACAUAACGUGACUUUUCAUGUUUGGUGCAGUCAGGGUUUUGCAGCCAGGUUUUUCCUAAGGCUUUUCAGUCUCGUGUGCUGCCCCGUCUUUGGAAACGCCUUGUUUCCAAGUCCCGGAGCUCUCACUUGUGUUGGGCUGCUCUCUGUCGCACACUUUGCUGUAGUGCACGUCUCUCGGCAGCUUCACUGCUUUCUGGGCACACUGAGCUGGGAGUUCCACCUGCCAUGCAGCUGACGCCCCGAGCUGCUGGGAACGUCUCCCUUUGGCCAGUUCAGCUUCUAUCCAUCUUGUUUAUAAAGUGCCACUGAGAUUCAUAGCAGAGCACCGGUGUACCAUGAGAGCACCACGGCCCGCCUGGCUUCCUGGCACGGAAAUACAGCCAGCUGUGAUUCACUAUGCAGGUGAGGCACUUGGCUGAGCUCAGUGUGAUGCUGUGAUGCUGCUGUAUCUGUAUGCACAUUGCCAGUGCCCCGUGCGAUGUGUGCUGAAACCACAACAGCUUCCAAGCAGACCACCCACUGCACUGCGCAGCAAUGCGUUUUACAUAUCUGACAGACCUUUGAGUUGUUUCCUUUUUUAUCGUAUUCUAUUUCUUCUAAAUCGCGUUCCUCCGAAUCUGGCAUUUAUAGAACAAUAGGUGCAAAUAAUGGUUCGGUUCUCUGUGUGCUCACGCUUGCUGACAAGAAACCGUCAAGAUUAGAGGAGGGAGUUUUGUCUCUGUAUAAACUGAAGUGGAUGAGAUUACUCGUGCCGCAGCUCACGCUGUGCACUUCUGAAUGAGGCAGCCAGCUCCUGGCUGAUGCUUUUUCUUGCCCUCAAAAUGAAAUGAGGUAGCCCUGAGAGUGCCGCGAAAGCCGCCGUACUCCUGAAUUAGUCCAAACCGCAGCUGUGUCAUUCUGGAGCUGGGAGCCUGGGGCAUUCCUACGCAGCACUGCUGCCAUCCAACAUGUCAGAGAGGUGAAGACAGAGCCAUUCUUACCACGGGUCCUGGGACAGCGCUGGGAUGCCGCUGUCAGAAGCAUCCGCAUCUCUCCAAGGGAUGGCAGCGCCGCGCUGCUCUGCCAUGUUACGGCUGCCCUGGCAGACAUGAUGCCGCUCCAAAAUGUGCAUUCCCUGCAGUUGGUACAGUUCCUUCUUAACAGUUUAAGUUCUGGUUGGUUGAAAUGCAUUUCGUAGACUUUCGUAAUGAUGUGUUUUGAUUAAAAAUGCGGGUGUUUUAAGGCAGAGGGAUCGGAAAAGAGCAUAAUUUCUGUGUGCUUUGCAGGGCAAACAGGGCGCAUUCCUCUGUAUUUGAUGUGAUUUUCAGGCAGCUCUGAAAGGUCUCACGAGCAUAUGCUACAGUCCCCUUGAGACUCCGGUGAGAUCUUCUCAGUGAGACCUUCUCAGCUGUAUCUGGCAUCACUGGUGCCAAGAGCUGCCACUGACCAGCAGGUACAAGAGCACAUCAAUGCUUAGGAUCGCAGCUCUGGUUAGCAAAACUUACCUGGACACCCAUCAGAAGCAAGCAGAUUAACGGAACAGAGCCUGCUGGUGACUCAGGGGAUCUUAAAGCACUUGGAAUCCACACAUCAAAUUAAUCAUAAUUAAUCUUAUAUAUGUAGGUUGCUCCAAAAGUAAUGCUUCCUAUUCAUUUCCACCGAAACAUCAGAUAUAAAGGGCACAGUAACACUGUUUGAUAGAAGAAAUUCUCAGUUACAGAACACAUUUUUUUUCGGCAUAGUAGCUACCAUUAGCUAGGCAUCUGUCACACAGCAACAACACGGGUUGGAAUAUGGGUGGGAAGGUGCAACCCCUACUGCUGUAUCACCAGCGUCCAUUCUGAUGCCAAGGGCCAAUAUCACAAAUCAGGAGGCAUUACUUCUGGAGCAGCCCUUGCACAAAGUGGCAUGUUGGGCGCGUUGUGGUGCAUCGCCCUUCUCCCUUCAGCCACUAUCCCUGCUGGCUAUCAGUGUGUAGCGCAGUUCUGAUCAGAUUGUUAAGGAGUGGAAGAAGAGAGCAGCUCAAAAUGAGCCACAGCAGCGUGCCAUUUACUGAAUGUUAGAGACCUCAAGAUCUGGGGAGCGGUGUUAGAAUCACGAACCCUCAGCAAGUCCUCCUUUUCCCAUACAUAAAUUUUUCCAGU